rnacentral:piRNA from 1 species
UGCUGUCCUUGGCUACAGAAGUGCCCUGAGC